UACGGAGGUCUCAAGCGUUGUUCGGAUUCAUUGGGCGUAAAGGGUGCGUAGGCGGCGUGGUAAGUCGGGUGUGAAAUCUCGGAGCUUAACUCCGAAACUGCAUUCGAUACUGCCGUGCUUGAGGACUGGAGAGGAGACUGGAAUUUACGGUGUAGCGGUGAAAUGCGUAGAUAUCGUAAGGAAGACCAGUGGCGAAGGCGGGUCUCUGGACAGUUCCUGACGCUGAGGCACGAAGGUCAGGGGAGCAAACGGG
rnacentral:rRNA from 1 species